GCUUAACACAUGCAAGUCGAGGGGCAGCAUGGUCUUAGCUUGCUAAGACUGAUGGCGACCGGCGCACGGGUGAGUAACACGUAUCCAACCUGCCGUCUACUCUUGGACAGCCUUCUGAAAGGAAGAUUAAUACAAGAUGGCAUCAUGAGUCCGCAUGUUCACAUGAUUAAAGGUAUUCCGGUGGACGAUGGGGAUGCGUUCCAUUAGAUAGUAGGCGGGGUAACGGCCCACCUAGUCUUCGAUGGAUAGGGGUUCUGAGAGGAAGGUCCCCCACAUUGGAACUGAGACACGGUCCAAACUCCUACGGGAGGCAGCAGUGAGGAAUAUUGGUCAAUGGGCGAGAGCCUGAACCAGCCAAGUAGCGUGAAGGAUGACUGCCCUAUGGGUUGUAAACUUCUUUUAUAAAGGAAUAAAGUCGGGUAUGGAUACCCGUUUGCAUGUACUUUAUGAAUAAGGAUCGGCUAACUCCGUGCCAGCAGCCGCGGUAAUACGGAGGAUCCGAGCGUUAUCCGGAUUUAUUGGGUUUAAAGGGAGCGUAGAUGGAUGUUUAAGUCAGUUGUGAAAGUUUGCGGCUCAACCGUAAAAUUGCAGUUGAUACUGGAUAUCUUGAGUGCAGUUGAGGCAGGCGGAAUUCGUGGUGUAGCGGUGAAAUGCUUAGAUAUCACGAAGAACUCCGAUUGCGAAGGCAGCCUGCUAAGCUGCAACUGACAUUGAGGCUCGAAAGUGUGGGUAUCAAACAGGAUUAGAUACCCUGGUAGUCCACACGGUAAACGAUGAAUACUCGCUGUUUGCGAUAUACUGCAAGCGGCCAAGCGAAAGCGUUAAGUAUUCCACCUGGGGAGUACGCCGGCAACGGUGAAACUCAAAGGAAUUGACGGGGGCCCGCACAAGCGGAGGAACAUGUGGUUUAAUUCGAUGAUACGCGAGGAACCUUACCCGGGCUUAAAUUGCAGAUGAAUUACGGUGAAAGCCGUAAGCCGCAAGGCAUCUGUGAAGGUGCUGCAUGGUUGUCGUCAGCUCGUGCCGUGAGGUGUCGGCUUAAGUGCCAUAACGAGCGCAACCCUUGUUGUCAGUUACUAACAGGUUCCGCUGAGGACUCUGACAAGACUGCCAUCGUAAGAUGUGAGGAAGGUGGGGAUGACGUCAAAUCAGCACGGCCCUUACGUCCGGGGCUACACACGUGUUACAAUGGGGGGUACAGAGGGCCGCUACCACGCGAGUGGAUGCCAAUCCCCAAAACCUCUCUCAGUUCGGACUGGAGUCUGCAACCCGACUCCACGAAGCUGGAUUCGCUAGUAAUCGCGCAUCAGCCACGGCGCGGUGAAUACGUUCCCGGGCCUUGUACACACCGCCCGUCAAGCCAUGGGAGCCGGGGGUACCUGAAGUGCGUAACCGCGAGGAGCGCCCUAGGGUAAAACUGGUGACUGGGGCUAAGUCAUAAC
rnacentral:rRNA from 1 species